rnacentral:lncRNA from 1 species
UAACUUUUAAGAUCAAGUCAGAGUAUAUCUGAGCUGCAUAAGUCCAAAAUGCGACAGUGAAAAGAGUCUGAAAACAUUGUUGGACAUCAAUGAUUUCUAAACAGCACUAUGGGAGAUCGGGGAGGCAAUGGAAACGAAUGUCCCACAGAAGGAUGUUAUCUCAACAUUGUAACAGAGGACUAAAGCAAGUGGUUUGCUCUCUUUAAAAAGUUCCUGAACUUUUUGAACCUGGUUCU